GCGGGCAGACUUGAUGCGCUGAUUGGAGUAUUCAGUGCCAGUCAUAUGGCAACACUGCAAGUGCCUGCACCAGCUCUGCCAUCACUCUAUUUCAGCCCCUACAUUAUUCAAGUUCCUAUUUCUUAACAAUCACCAGUGAUCAAAGCAGACAGGUGCAAUUGCAGGUGGUUGGAGUGGCCAUACAGCAUCUGUAAGGGUAAAAUAAUGUCCACAACAAAGGCCUUGUGAGGCUCUCGCUGUCUUUCAUCUGGCUGAGGCGAGAGAUAAAGAGAGAGAACAUGCGAGAGAGCAUCAUUACAAAUCCAUCUACACUCUUUAUCUAAUCACUAAUGGCUUUGGAGAGGAGUUUCAAAACCAUCAACACUGCUGUUUCACAAUGUUUCCCGCAAUAUCCCCCUUACAGCCAGCCAUUAUGUAAACCAGGGUACAAAAUAUGCUGUUCCAGUCUAUUCCUGCUCCCUCUGUCUCUUUUCAUUCCAUAUGCCACAGUCAAGAUGACCUUUUGCUGCUGAUGGAUGCCAAAAUGCAGUGAUCUCUAGUGGAUCUGAUGUGACAGCAAGAUUUUCAGAUGAUUCGCAAAACACAUCGAGAAACUGUCAAGGUCAAUAUUUCACAUGUCUUCCUGAAGGCCACUUCCGACCAGCCAGUUGCUGCUUUUUCCUGGAACUAAACCAUCGUGCGCCCAGUGGAUGAUUCCUGAGAUCAUUGGACAGCUCCAUGUGGAGAAUGACCUUUUCAGCCAUGUGUCACCUGCCCACACGGAUGCUCCAGGUGGUCCUCUCAGCAUAACGUGUCUGAAUGUCUGUGUCAUAAAGCUCCAGUGAAGCAACUCAAAAAAUAGAAAACAGGAAAGAGGAUGACAACAAAACUAUUGGACUCAAGUACAGACCCGCAUGCAGUCACAGAUAUGUGGUUAUUUUAUUUUAUUUUUAUUCAGCAGUAGCUGGCAAGUGUUUAGUUUAAAAGAAAGCAUUGAGACAGUUGGUAUUAAAGCCACAUAAGGCAAAAGUUGGCAGCACCAAGGCAGGCAAAAUA